UCUGGUCCUUGUGUGCCCGCCGCCGCGGUCCUACGGAGGCUCCGCGCGUUCUCCGGAUUUAUUGGGUUUAAAGGGUGCGUAGGUGGUUUAUUAAGUCAGCGGUGAAAGUUUGUGGCUCAACCAUAAAAUUGCCGUUGAAACUGGUUAACUUGAGUAUAUUUGAGGUAGGCGGAAUGCGUGGUGUAGCGGUGAAAUGCAUAGAUAUCACGCAGAACUCCAAUUGCGAAGGCAGCUUACUAAACUAUAACUGACACUGAAGCACGAAAGCGUGGGGAUCAAACAGG
rnacentral:rRNA from 1 species